rnacentral:rRNA from 1 species
UGUGCUGGUCUCACAUUAGCACAAGGUCGCAAGGCCUUGAUGUUUACGCUUGUUUGUUUGACAGAGUUAGUUGAGAAUAAAAAUAAAGACAACUUUUAACAAUGGAUCUCUUGGCUCUUGCAACGAUGAAGAACGCAGUAAAGUGCGAUAUGUAGUGCGAUUUGCAUGAAUCUGUGAGUCAUCUAAUCUUUGAACGCAACUUGCGCCUUUUACGAGGCAUGUUUGUUUGAGUGCCGCAAUCUUCUGCAGCAAUGCGAUUUGACUCUUGUCUUUGUUGACCGAGUUUAAAGAGAGCUAGAGGAUGGUCAGUUUAGACUAGCCCGAGUGCUAAGCAUUCUUGGGUCUAGCGCUGGAUUGCUCGUUACAUCUAUUUUUUAUUUGGCCUCAAAUCAAGCAAGACUACCCGCUGAACUUAAGCAUAUCAGUAAGCGGAGGAAAAGAAACUAACAAGGAUUCCCCUAGUAACGGCGAGUGAAGCGGGAAUAGCUCAAAUUUAAAAUCUCGGCGUUAUGCGUCGCGAAUUGUAGUCUAAAGAGGGUGAUCUAGGGUUGGCAAUAUGCUCAAGUCUCUUGGAAUAGAGCGCCAGAGAGGGUGAGAGCCCCGUAAAAGCAUGUUGCUGGCCUCAAGUGAGAGCCUCUCAACGAGUCGAGUUGUUUGGGAAUGCAGCUCAAAGUGGGUGGUAAAUCUCAUCUAAGGCUAAAUACUGGCAAGAGACCGAUAGCGAACAAGUACCGUGAGGGAAAGAUGAAAAGCACCUUGAAAAGGGAGUUAAAUAGUGCGUGAAAUUGUUAAAA